CGACGAGUGGCGGACGGGUGAGUAAUACAUAGGAAUCUGCCUUAUAGUGGGGGACAACCUGGGGAAACCCAGGCUAAUACCGCAUACGCCCUUCGGGGGAAAGGCUUCGGCCGCUAUUAGAUGAGCCUAUGUCUGAUUAGCUUGUUGGUGGGGUAAUGGCCUACCAAGGCGACGAUCAGUAGCUGGUCUGAGAGGACGAUCGGCCACACUGGGACUGAGACACGGCCCAG
rnacentral:rRNA from 1 species